CCUACGGGAGGCUGCAGUGGGGAAUAUUGGACAAUGGGGGGAACCCUGAUCCAGCGACGCCGCGUGAGUGAAGAAGUAUUUCGGUAUGUAAAGCUCUAUCAGCAGGGAAGAAAGAAAUGACGGUACCUGACUAAGAAGCCCCGGCUAACGACGUGCCAGCAGCCGCGGUAAUACGGAGGGGGCAAGCGUUAUCCGGAUUUACUGGGUGUAAAGGGAGCGUAGACGGCGAUGCAAGUCUGAAGUGAAAGGCGGGGGCCCAACCCCCGGACUGCUUUGGAAACUGUAUGGCUGGAGUGCAGGAGAGGUGAGUGGAAUUCCUAGUGUAGCGGUGAAAUGCGUAGAUAUUAGGAGGAACACCAGUGGCGAAGGCGGCUUACUGGACUGUAACUGACGUUGAGGCUCGAAAGCGUGGGGAGCAAACAGGAUUAGAUACCCGGGUAGUC
rnacentral:rRNA from 1 species